UGGACAAACCUCUGGUGCACCAGUUGUCACGCCAGUGGCAUCGCUGGGUAGCUAUGUUUGGAAGGGAUAAACGCUGAAAGCAUCUAAGCGUGAAGCCCACCCUGAGAUGAGAUUUCCCAUAACGCGUGUUUUUUAAACACAAGUUAGUAAGACUCCUGGAAGAACACCAGGUUGAUAGGUUAGAGGUGUAAGCAUGGUAACAUGUUCAGCUGACUAAUACUAAUAAGUCGAGGGCUUGACCUUA
rnacentral:rRNA from 1 species